GAAAUGCGAUAAGUAGUGUGAAUUGCAGAAUUCAGUGAAUCAUCGAAUCUUUAAACGCACAUUGCGCCCUUUGGUAUUCCAAAGGGCAUGCCUGUUCGAGCGUCAUUUGUACCCUCAAGCUUUGCUUGGUGUUGGGCGUCUUGUCUCUAGCUUUGCUGGAGACUCGCCUUAAAGUAAUUGGCAGCCGGCCUACUGGUUUCGGAGCGCAGCACAAGUCGCACUCUCUAUCAGCAAAGGUCUAGCAUCCAUUAAGCCUUUUUUUCAACUUUUGACCUCGGAUCAGGUAGGGAUACCCGCUGAACUUAAGC
rnacentral:misc_RNA from 1 species